rfam:Coccomyxa subellipsoidea C-169, whole genome shotgun sequence.
GGACCUAUAGCUCAGUGGUAGAGCAAUCGGCUGCAGUCCGAUAGGUCAGUGGUUCAACUCCGCUUGGGUCCU